GCCGAUUUAGCUCAGUUGGGAGAGCGCAAGACUGAAGUUCUUGAGGUCCUCAGUUCGAUCCUGAGAGUCGGCA
rnacentral:tRNA from 1 species